rnacentral:rRNA from 1 species
UACGAAGGGAGCUAGCGUUGUUCGGAAUCACUGGGCGUAAAGCGCACGUAGGCGGCAUAUUAAGUCAUCUGUGAAAUCUCCGAGCUUAACUCGGAACUGUCAGCUGAUACUGAUGUGCUAGAGUGCGGAAGGGGCAAUCGGAAUUCUUGGUGUAGCGGUGAAAUGCGUAGAUAUCAAGAGGAACACCUGAGGUGAAGACGGGUUGCUGGGCCGACACUGACGCUGAGUGCGCGAAAGCCAGGGGAGCAAACGGG